GACGAACGCUGGCGGCGUGCUUAACACAUGCAAGUCGAACGGAAAGGCCCUGCUUUUGUGGGGUGCUCGAGUGGCGAACGGGUGAGUAACACGUGAGUAACCUGCCCUUGACUUUGGGAUAACUUCAGGAAACUGGGGCAAAUACCGGAUAGGAGCUCCUGCUGCACGGUGGGGGUUGGAAAGUUUCGGCGGUUGGGGAUGGACUCGCGGCUUAUCAGCUUGUUGGUGGGGUAGUGGCUUACCAAGGCUUUGACGGGUAGCCGGCCUGAGAGGGUGACCGGCCACAUUGGGACUGAGAUACGGCCCAGACUCCUACGGGAGGCAGCAGUGGGGAAUAUUGCACAAUGGGCGGAAGCCUGAUGCAGCAACGCCGCGUGCGGGAUGACGGCCUUCGGGUUGUAAACCGCUUUCGCCUGUGACGAAGCGUGAGUGACGGUAAUGGGUAAAGAAGCACCGGCUAACUACGUG
rnacentral:rRNA from 1 species